rnacentral:rRNA from 1 species
GAUGAACGCUGGCGGCGUGCCUAACACAUGCAAGUCGAACGGGAGCUCCUGGAUUCGUCUGGGGGCGAGAGUGGCGAACGGGUGAGUAAUACGUGGGUGACCUGCCCAUAAGAGGGGGAUAACAUCCGGAAACGGGUGCUAAUACCGCAUAGUUUUCUUGAUCGCAUGAUUGAGAAAGGAAAGACGGCCUUUGUGCUGUCGCUUAUGGAUGGACCCGCGGCGUAUUAGUUAGUUGGUGAGGUAAUGGCUCACCAAGACGAUGAUACGUAGCCGACCUGAGAGGGUGAUCGGCCACAUUGGGACUGAGACACGGCCCAAACUCCUACGGGAGGCAG